UUUUUUACCUAUCGGAAUGAUCUGAAAUUUGGAGCGUAUGUUCAUAAGAAAUAGGUGAAUCUACGAAAAAUAUCAAAAAAAUAUUUUACAUGAAACAAAUUAACCAAAAUACCCUUGAAAAGUUUCAGGGGUAUUUUGGUCAAUAUUUUUUUUUCAAAUUUUUUUUUUAUAUUUUUAUUAGGUGCGCUUCACUAAGAUGUACACACGUUCCAAAUUUCAGAUCAUUCCAAUUUGUAGAAAA
rnacentral:pre_miRNA from 1 species